UACGUAGGGUGCAAGCGUUAAUCGGAAUUACUGGGCGUAAAGCGUGCGCAGGCGGUUGUGCAAGACAGAUGUGAAAUCCCCGGGCUUAACCUGGGAACUGCAUUUGUGACUGCACAGCUGGAGUGCGGCAGAGGGGGAUGGAAUUCCGCGUGUAGCAGUGAAAUGCGUAGAUAUGCGGAGGAAUACCAAAGGCGAAGGCAGUGUCCUGGGAGUGUCUGACGCUCAGGCGCGAAGCUAGGGAGCGAACGAGG
rnacentral:rRNA from 1 species